CAGAUAGCACACAUACAUCUGGCCGACGUCGGCCUGAGGACGACACAUCGGCCCUGAAUUUAUAACGUCUGACAAGCGUCGGCCGCAUGGGCGGAUAUCUUCAAAUUUAAUACUCUUUUGUCCCAGCUCAUCAAACGUCUCUGUUACGUCGGCUUUGGGUCGGCCCAGUGCCGUAGAAUGUCUGCCCACAUACGGAAGUCGCCACAGAGGCGGAAUUUCAUCUCCGCGGUGUUUGUUUGGAACUGAGCUCGCAGGACACAGCAUCUCAUCGCAGUUGGUUUCAGUUGACGUUAUCUGCUCAUCUGGUUAUCGUGAGCACUCGUUUUGGGUUAAAGUGGAAGUGCCCGGAGCUGCCACCCGUGGUCCCGCGGCCCCCCGGCCUGCCCUCCGGGGCCCUGGACGUGUGCUCAAGUGUCUGGGAGAGGAGCGGAGAGGAGCACGGAGGUCAGGCGGGGCGGGCCGACACUGUGUAUCCCAGAACGGGUGCUGAAGUGUCGGUGAGACCAGCAGAGAGGAGCGCGGAGGUGAAAUAGUGAAGUUUAAGGAUGCCUUCAGUAUGUUGUUAAUGUGAUUUUAUGGGCAAUUUAUCAGUCGAGGUCUCCUCCUCUGCAAAGCAAACUGACCCGGUGGCUACAGGUAAUAGCGCAGUUUUGAAGCCACUGUUUUUCCGAGAUGAAGGACUGAUUGUUGAGCUGCUGUUAACAGUUAACGGAGUUAACGGAUCCCGUUAUUUAACCGUUUCAACACUAAAUUAAGCAGAGUGAUGGACCCAAAGCCUUCAAUCUGGCUAAAAGACAGCUGAAAUGCUAAAAAAAACAAUACAGUGGUGAAGUUGGGAUUUGUUUCUUGAAGUUAUGUGCUCAUCGUCUUUUCUGUGUCUUGCAGGCUGCCAGGAGAAGCGGACUGGCCGUCAGAUAUUGUUUGUGGAAAUUUGAAAAUAAAGUUUGUCAAAUUGA